rnacentral:rRNA from 1 species
UACGGAGGGAGCUAGCGUUGUUCGGAAUUACUGGGCGUAAAGCGCACGUAGGCGGCUUUGCAAGUCAGAGGUGAAAGCCUGGAGCUCAACUCCAGAAUUGCCUUUGAGACUGCAUCGCUUGAACACGGGAGAGGUGAGUGGAAUUCCGAGUGUAGAGGUGAAAUUCGUAGAUAUUCGGAAGAACACCAGUGGCGAAGGCGGCUCACUGGACCGUUGUUGACGCUGAGGUGCGAAAGCCAGGGGAGCAAACGGG